UCGAAGCCCAUUAUUCCACUUUCACUCUAAUCUGACGGAAAAGCCCUAGCCUAAUUUCUUGGCAAAUCAGACGUGAAAUUGUGAAGAUUUGUGGUCGAAGCUCUCAUCUUUUGGAUGUUUUCUUGUUGUUCUUCCUCUAUUUAGUCCGGAUAUGUUCGAUUUUUCCCUUUUGAAAGUUUAUUUUUGAUAGAAGGUGUAAAGUUUUUGUCAUCAUGAAUGUAACAUCCCUUUUUUUUUACAGCUUCAGCCAUAUAUGGUUCAUAUUAUAGCUAUUUUCCACCAUGAAGGUCGUUUUUAUAAGGAUCACUAUAUUUCGAAAUUGGAAAAUUGUGUAUUUUGCAUAGACAAGGACCACUUCUCUUUGAUCGAACUGAAAUCUUAUGCAAAAGAUAUUGGGUAUGAUGAAGUUGAAGAUUUUUAUACCGAAAAUUCUAUUACCCAUAGAUUUGUCAAGUUAGAAAGUGACAGCCAACUAUAUAAUUUUGUUAAAGAUUUGUGGAGUGGGUCGUCUUUUAAGAUAUUCUUGUAACAUGUGACUGUUAAAGAGGGGGGGGGGGGACAACUUCUUUGGGACUAUAUUCUUGUGAAAAAACUAAUGAAGAAAUAUCUAGGGUUUCACAUCUUGAGGAUGAUAUAAAUAUAAAUGAGGUAGGUGGAGUUGAAGAACUUUCUGAGGAAGAAGAAAAUAGUGAUUCUGUUGACUUUGGAAAGGAAGACUUAGAUGAUCUUCCAGAUGAGGAUGAUAGUGAACUUGAUGAAAAAUUGAGAGUUGUUAGAGAAAAACUUAGAGAAGAAAAAAGAAGUGAAGCUGGAAAGGGAAAAAAGAGAUCUAAAAGAACUUCGAAACAACAAUAAGUCGAGCUUGGAGAAGCUGGUAUAGAUAAGGGAUUUGAGAAUAUUGUCAACAAGAAGGCAGCCAAGUGUAAUGGUAGAUUGGGAGGUGAUGAAGAUUUUAUUGAUUCAUCAGAUGAACCAAGUGAAGAUAGUGGUAAAGAACUUGAUGUGUUAGCACAAUCAGGUGUGGAUUUACCUUCAAGAAGAAAAAGCAAUAAAUUGAGGUAUGAUUCUUCUUGUUCCAUUUAUUUCUUUGAAUUGGGUAUGAUAUUUGAGGGUGCAAAUCAAUUUAGAAAGGUUGUUGCUGAUUAUGCUAUUCAACAUAAAGUUCAAUUAAAGAUUAAACCCAAUGAACUUCAUAGAAUAAGGGUGAGAUGUGUUGGAAAUUGUAAAGGAGAACUGUUUGCAAGCUUAGAUAAAGAUACAGAAAAUUUUAAUUGUGAAAAAAAUACUAUCCUGCUCAUAGAUGUCUUACAAAGAACAUGAACAAAUUGUGCUCAACAAAGUAUGUAGAAAUGAAGAUGAGGGAUAGAAUAAUAUCUCAUCUUGACAUUAGGGUUUAUAAGCUUCAAGAAACAAUUAGAAAAGAAUGGGGACUAAAAUUGGGAUGAUCAAUAUGUUAUAGAGCAAAACAAAAUGUUAUUUCCAAGUUUAUGGGGGGUUGGAAGCUUGAGUUUUCAAAGUUGUUAGACUAUGCUGAUAUGAUCAAGAGUUCAAAUUUUGGAACUUCUUGUUGGGUGAGAACUGAUAAUGACACAGUUCCUGGAAAACACUUGUUUUAAUAUUUCUAUGUGUUCUUUGCUGCAUUGAAGAGUGGCUGGUUAGAAGGUUGUAGGUAGGGCUGGAUGGCUGUUUCCUGAAGGGUGCUUGUAGAGGAGAAUUAUUGGUGGAUGUUGGAAAAAAUGAAAACUAACAAAUGUAUCCAAUAGCUUGGGCAGUGGUUGAUCAAGAAACUAUACACUCUUGGAGUUGGUUCUUAAGCUAUCUUAUUCAAGAUUUGCAACUUGGUGAUGGAAAUGGCAUAACAAUCAUGUUUGACAUGCAAAAGGGUCUUGAGUCAGCUGUUGCUGACUUUCUUCUUAAUGCUGAAAGAAGAAUGUGUGCAAGACACAUUUGGGCAAACUGGCAAAAGAAAUGAAGAGGUGAAAAAAGGAGAAAAGCAUUUUGGAGAUGUGCCAAAGCUAGUUUUGAGGUAACAUUAAAAGAUGAGGUGGCAUAUAUGAAAAAUCUUGGUAAGAAAAUAUGUGAGUCAUUGCUUGUUUAUAACAGAGAAUAUUGGUGUAGGGCUGUAUUUAGUGAAAGAUUCAAGUAUGAUGUAGUGAAAAAUAAUGUGUGAAACAUUUAAUUCAUGGAUUGUUGGUCCUAGACACAAAUCUAUGAUUAGUAUGCUUGAAGAUAUUAGGCACAAAAUGAUGGAUAGGCAUAGAUAUAUGAUUAAGUUUGCAGAUACUUGAAUUAGUAAUAUUUCACCCAUGGCAAGACUAGUUUUAGAAGAAAAUAAAGAAAUUGGUAGGAAUCUAAAGGUGAAUUGAAAUCAUGACAUUGGAUUUGAGAUCCAAGAAGGAGAAUAUAGACACAUAAUUGACAUGGUUAACAAGACAUGUAGUUGCAGGUUGUGGCAAUUGAGAGGUAUUCCUUGCCAAUAUGUAGUUUGUGCUUUGUAUCACAUUGGGCAAGAAUCAGAAGAUUAUGUGGAGCAUUGGUACAAAAAAGAUACAUUCCUACAUGCUUAUAAGUACUUCUUACAACCUAUGUCUAAUAUGGCAAUGUGGCCUGAAACCAAUAACCCACCAAUUGAGCCUCCUGAAGUGAAGCUAAUGCCUGAAAUACCAACCAGAUGUAGAAGAAAAGACAAAGAUGAAUCAAGAAAAAAGAAGUGGGGAAAGCAUCAAAGAAUGGAGUGAAAAUGUCAUGUUCCAAAUGCCAUCAAGUUGGGCAUAACAAAAGAAGCUGUAAAUCAGUGCCUUCACAGUGCACUCGACAGCCUUUACAGCCCACUCAACAGUCUUCACAACAAUCAAUGAAUCAGUCAGACACUCAACAUUCCUCUUCUUUAUGUGCAGAAACCUCAAGUUAUAGGAAAUAAGAGGCAACAACUAAAUAGUGCUUCAACUGCAAAGGCUACAACUUCUUCGAUACACAAUUUGUAUCCUGGAAGACCAAGUGAAAGAGAUAUCUCACGUGGGUCUCAAGCAGCACAAACAAAUGUUGACCUUGGACUCAAGCCACCUGGUUUGAAAUGGAAAGGAAAAAAUGUUCUGAUUGAAAACCAACUUCAACUAAUGUCACAGCAAAAAAAUUGCAAAUCAAAUCCAACCGGGUUCCUUAAGAGUUCAAUUGUUAGUGAUGUGGCUUCAUGGUGAAAAAUAAUGUUGAUCGUAUUUUUGCGUAUUUUGAUCUAUAUUUUGUAAAGCAUACUUCAAUCGCUGAUCAUUAUGAUGUAUUUUGAAUUAUUUUGAUGUAUGUUUGCCUUUAAACAAGUCUUUAGAUGUCAUUGUAGUUCCUGUAAAGUUUAUGUAUGUUAAGUUGACGCUUUGUAAAGCUAGUUUACCAUGUGGGUAUGGGAUUUUUGUAUGUGCAAAAUGUGAUGCUUAGUGCCUAUAUUGAAGUAAUGAAAUUGUAAAGUGAUGAAACAUAUGUUCCAAAUUAAAGCUAAAGAUAUUGUUCUCGUACUAAA